UACGGAGGGUGCAAGCAUUAAUCGGAUUUAUUGGGCGUAAAGGGCGCGUAGGUGGGUUUGUAAGUCAAGUGUGAAAUUCCGGGGGCUCAACUUCGGAACUGCACGUGAAACUACAAGUCUUGAGGAUUGGCGGAGAAAACGGAAUUCCACAAGUAGCGGUGAAAUGCGUAGAUAUGUGGAAGAACACCGGUGGCGAAGGCGGUUUUCUAGCUUAUUCCUGACACUGAGGCGCGAAAGCAAGGGGAUCAAACAGGAGUUAGAAAACC
rnacentral:rRNA from 1 species